UGCGCAGGCGGUUGAUUAAGUCAGAUGUGAAAUCCCCGGGCUCAACCUGGGAAUGGCAUUUGAGACUGGUCGGCUAGAGUGUGUCAGAGGGGGUAGAAUUCCACGUGUAGCAGUGAAAUGCGUAGAGAUGUGGAGGAAUACCGAUGGCGAAGGCAGCCCCUGGGAUAACACUGACGCUCAGGCACGAAAGCGUGGGAGCAAACA
rnacentral:rRNA from 1 species